UAGAAACGCGAAUAAAUCUUAUCAAUUAGAAAAAUUAUACGAUACACGUUAUACGUUAUACAUUGAAGAAAAACAAAUACGAAAUAUCAAACACGACGUGUUAUUAUUAUUCGUUCGUAGAAGUCGAAGGAUUCGAAUAUGGCAAAUGAAUAUACACAAAUAUACGCUGCUGACUAAUCUCGAGGAUUUUGUGUAUUUUUGUUUUUGCAACAAUCGAGGCACCACAGUUUGUGUAGCGAUGGCCUUGUAACAAGUAUCGCUUCUCAUUGUGGCCGUGUAAACGUUGACGAAUGGAUCGACACGCGCUUGGAAACGUUAAUAUUAAGCAACGCAAAAUUGUGUGAUUUCAUCAUAUUCUCUUUUCUCUUAAUCACUGUCUUCUUUUUAGAAAUUUUCUAAACGAAAUAAUACGAAGUAACGCAAUAUCGAAUUGAAAGAAGCAUUCAUUUUACGUUUUCACUUCGAUUUGGAAAUUAUCCUUUUAAUUAUCGAUCACGUUUCUUCUUCGACCGAUAAAAGUUGGAGAUGCUUUUAAGAUGUCGAAAGAAAGGUACUACUAGCACUGAGAAACUCAAAUCCAGUUAUCCAGUAUUGCAAAUUAAUCUUGUUUCAAAUGAAAUCUGAUUAAUUUUCUAAAAGAUUGUCGAUUUAUGCUACGUCGAUAAUUUAAUUAACGGUAUCAAUUUCGGUGAAAAUCUAUUUCACCUUCGUGGAAUUCGUGUCGGUAUUGCGAAUGCAUGAAAAUCCGGCUCACCCACCGAAUAACCACAAAAUACAAGUGACACACGAAGGGUUACGAAGCGUCACGAAGUGACCCGAAUAAGGUUCUACGGGACGUUAGUAAGUAUAUGUAUACUAACCACGACCUCAUUCGAACUUUUACAAGCCACCGUAUACGAACGAUUCCCAUAUCUGUCUAAUAUCCAAUUAUAAAUAUUACAAUCUCCAGUAUGGUGGAAAAACUUUCAUUCUUUCGAUAGUGCAUCAAGUUAGAAAUUUUAUAACCUAAAUGAAUAUGUCAGUACAAGAUAUUUCUCUUAUAUUCAAUUCAUAGAGAGAAGUCAGGUCGGAACAAACCAAGUAAAUUAUUCAUAUGUCAUAAUAUAUAUACUUCAAGAAUUUUAUUUCUCAAAUGCUUUCAACAAAUUCACAUAAUUCAUGACAAUUUAAUGCGUGCAAGUUGGUACCAUUUGUAAUGAUAAGGGUUAAUUAAGAAAGUGACUCGUAAGUGGUUGGUUUCCAACAGAGAGAACAAACAACCAACCGGGGUUCUCUUGGCCCAAACAGAAAAACAAAAAAAAAAAAACAAUAAGCAAGAUUUACCAGUGAGUCUCAGCUCUUUUAAUUCUAUAGAUACACCUCUCUUUCCUUUUUAUUUCUUCUUUUUUUUCUUUCUUUUUCUUUUUUCUUUUUUUUUUUUUUACGUAAAAU